rnacentral:rRNA from 1 species
GCAAUGCCGCGUGUGUGAAGAAGGCCUCUCGGGUUGUAAAGCACUUUUGUCCGGAAAGAAAUCCUUGGCUCUAAUACAGUCGGGGGAUGACGGUACCGGAAGAAUAAGCACCGGCUAACUACGUGCCAGCAGCCGCGGUAAUACGUAGGGUGCGAGCGUUAAUCGGAAUUACUGGGCGUAAAGCGUGCGCAGGCGGUUUGCUAAGACCGAUGUGAAAUCCCCGGGCUCAACCUGGGAACUGCAUUGGUGACUGGCAGGCUAGAGUAUGGCAGAGGGGGGUAGAAUUCCACGUGUAGCAGUGAAAUGCGUAGAGAUGUGGAGGAAUACCGAUGGCGAAGGCAGCCCCCUGGGCCAAUACUGACGCUCAUGCACGAAAGCGUGGGGAGCAAACAGGAUUAGAUACCCUGGUAGUCCACGCCCUAAACGAUGUCAACUAGUUGUUGGGGAUUCAUUUCCUUAGUAACGUAGCUAACGCGUGAAGUUGACCGCCUGGGGAGUACGGUCGCAAGAUUAAAACUCAAAGGAAUUGACGGGGACCCGCACAAGCGGUGGAUGAUGUGGAUUAAUUCGAUGCAACGCGAAAAACCUUACCUACCCUUGACAUGGUCGGAAUCCUGCU